rnacentral:lncRNA from 1 species
UUCAACAAUAUCUAUUUUAUAUAUUUUGGCAUAAGCACUCACUUUAGCUUACCAUUGAUGCAA